rnacentral:rRNA from 1 species
CAGCUGAUCAGCCAUGCCGCGUGUGUGAGAAGGUCUUCGGAUUGUAAAGCACUUUAAGUUGGGAGGAAGGGCAGUAAGUUAAUACCUUGCUGUUUUGACGUUACCAACAGAAUAAGCACCGGCUAACUUCGUGCCAGCAGCCGCGGUAAUACGAAGGGUGCAAGCGUUAAUCGGAAUUACUGGGCGUAAAGCGCGCGUAGGUGGUUCAGCAAGUUGGAUGUGAAAUCCCCGGGCUCAACCUGGGAACUGCAUCCAAAACUACUGAGCUAGAGUACGGUAGAGGGUGGUGGAAUUUCCUGUGUAGCGGUGAAAUGCGUAGAUAUAGGAAGGAACACCAGUGGCGAAGGCGACCACCUGGACUGAUACUGACACUGAGGUGCGAAAGCGUGGGGAGCAAACAGGAUUA